rnacentral:rRNA from 1 species
UACGAGGGGUGCAAGCGUUGCUCGGAAUCACUGGGCGUAAAGGGUGCGUAGGCGGGUCUUUAAGUCAGGGGUGAAAUCCUGGAGCUCAACUCCAGAACUGCCUUUGAUACUGAAGAUCUUGAGUUCGGGAGAGGUGAGUGGAACUGCGAGUGUAGAGGUGAAAUUCGUAGAUAUUCGCAAGAACACCAGUGGCGAAGGCGGCUCACUGGCCCGAUACUGACGCUGAGGCACGAAAGCGUGGGGAGCAAACAGG